CCUGGCAAAGCUCAUAUGGCUAAGGACAUCAUCUGGACCUCUAACAGCUGGUGAAUCAAGCAACUGUGUCAGGGAUAACCCACUCUGGCAAAGGCUGCUUGCAUGUCGGCAAGCUGGCCUUCUGCAGCCAGGAGCUCUUGCACCAGCUCCCAAGAAUUCUUUCCCAUUUCUCCACUUAAGAGUGACCAAAAUCUAUGAAGCCUUUUAGUCCCUGUGAGCUGGUGUUCAGCAGUAGCUGUGUUGAUGCCCCUAGUUUCCCUCACACACUGGACAAAAAACCAAUCCUCCCUCUGAGGAGAUACUUUCUGUUAAUGGUCCAUUGAGUCUCACUGCAUGACUGAUAAAAUUACAUCAUCCCCUUGGGAGAUGCUCCACCCAGGAGGAGGAGCCAAGCAUUCCUACCUGGAUAUGAUCUGAGAUUUGGAACAGAGAAGCAGCAUUUUCCCACUGGAUUCCAGAGGAAGAUCAGGCCCAUCUAUACCACCACUGGAUCUCCAGAGGAAAACUGCACCCUUCUACAGAAUCACUGCUUCAACAGAACCACAUCUGUCACUCCAGGAGGACUGCAGCCAUCAUUUAAUCAGACUGCUGCCAACACCCUGACCAACAGGGUGUCAGGUUUGCAUUUUGACUCUGUCAGUGUUGUUUUGUGUUACUGCAUUUUCUAUUUUAUUUUAUUUUUUUAUUUUCUUCCCUAAUAAAGAACUAGUAUUAUUCCUACUCCCGUA